GAUGAAGAACGCAGCGAAAUGCGAUAAGUAAUGUGAAUUGCAGAAUUCAGUGAAUCAUCGAGUCUUUGAACGCACAUUGCGCCCCCUGGUAUUCCGGGGGGCAUGCCUGUCCGAGCGUCAUUGCCGCCCUCAAGCACGGCUUGUGUGUUGGGCCCCCGCCCCCCGGCUUCGGGGGGCGGGCCCGAAAGGCAGCGGCGGCACCGCGUCCGGUCCUCGAGCGUAUGGGGCUUCGUCACCCGCUCUGUAGGCCCGGCCGGCGCCCGCCGGCGACCCCAAUCAAUCUUCCAGGUUGACCUCGGAUCAGGUAGGGAUACCCGCUGAACUUAAGCAUAUCAAUAAGCGGAGGA
rnacentral:misc_RNA from 1 species